rnacentral:rRNA from 1 species
AGUGAACGCUGGCGGUAGGCCUAACACAUGCAAGUCGAACGGCAGCACAGUAAGAGCUUGCUCUUACGGGUGGCGAGUGGCGGACGGGUGAGGAAUACAUCGGAAUCUACUUUUUCGUGGGGGAUAACGUAGGGAAACUUACGCUAAUACCGCAUACGACCUACGGGUGAAAGCAGGGGAUCUUCGGACCUUGCGCGAUUGACUGAGCCGAUGUCGGAUUAGCUAGUUGGCGGGGUAAAGGCCCACCAAGGCGACGAUCCGUAGCUGGUCUGAGAGGAUGAUCAGCCACACUGGAACUUGGACACGGUCCAGACUCCUACGGGAGGCAGCAGUGGGGAAUAUUGGACAAUGGGCGCAAGCCUGAUCCAGCCAUACCGCGUGGGUGAAGGAGGCCUUCGGGUUGUGAAGCCCUUUUGUUGGGAAAGAAAAGCAGCAGGUUAAUACCCCGCUGUUCUGACGGUACCCAAAGAAUAAGCACCGGCUAACUUCGUG